AGCCGGAGAGUGAUUGUGUACGUCGAUUUAUCAAAAUUUUGUUAUUUUUUUAGAUAAUUUUGUUUUUUUCUUUUUAGGUCGGAUUCUAUAUUUCCGCUGUGACCAGGCAGGAUAAUUCUUUCUUUCGAUAGCCAAGUUCUCCGGUGCCAAGGUUAGGGUUUCGCUAAAUUUUGUAUUCGGCGAAACGAAAAAAACUGCCGACUAUCUGCAGAAGUUCCAUUUCCGGGUACCGUGCGGUAGUGUGACCCGUUUGUUUACGACUUUGCUGAACCAGUCACAGGUUGUGCCAAGACAAAGGAAGUCAACAUCGAGAAGUUGGUCAAGUUCUAGUGCAAGACGGCUCGAGGUGCUGGUGCUCAACAGGAAAGACGAAUGAGAAAAACGGCUCUGGCCAAGAAGGAAUCGAAACUAGUUGAGAAAAUGAAUGCCGCUGAACGAACUCUGAUUGAAGAACCUAAAUCUAAGGACAGAUUUGAUGAGCGGCAGAAAGGUACAUUUCAUUUCGACAAUUCAAACGGUGUUAUUCAACCGAGGAUGUUCCACUACCAUGUCGAAAAAAUUUACUGGAUUUGAUGAUUUCUGGCAUUUAUCAACAAUGUUACUACAUGCAUGUAUUUGCUUUUAUGUGGCUGUUCGGUGAGGACAAAACACCACAAUCUCCGCGUCUGGCGUGGACAAGAACUGGCUUUUUCUCUCUGCCAUCGACCCCAAAUCUGAGAACAUUAGGAAUUUGGUCAAGUAGUUCUAUUUUCGGUCUGGAGCAAGCUCUACCACGAUGAAAUCUGCAGAUAAGAGUGUUCCGAUUUCCUGUGAGGGCUUUACAAGCACAAAAGUAAUUGUUCGUCUCUCACAUGCCCUUGCAAAUGUAACGUUUUUUUUUAACUAUUCAGUUGAUGAACUAUUCAGUCGAGGACGGAUUCUUCUCUGCGUCAGCUGGCUGCGACAGAUCGUUCUCAGCCUGGCAGUUAUGCAACGCAACUCAAAUUGAUUAUCAGGAUAAAAUUCACAAAAUCGAAUGACAAGCGGAAGAGUUGGCCAUCAAUAAAGCCAUGAUUUCUGAAAAAAACGAACUUGGCGUGAAUGGACUCGAAAAAAGCUUCAUGAAGCGCACACCGGAAUCACAAUUACUCGAAAGAGGCACCAAAAGAAAUAGGUUCUGGUCGAGAAUAGGAACUCGUGGAUGCGAAGACUCCGCCGAAUAGCUAUUUUGGCACGCAUCAUCUGUUGAGCACUGCUAGCGGUAAAGAGACCGCCAGGGAUGAUCUGGAUGGUCAUCGCUCUGUCAUUUAUGCAUUUUCGACCGAACAUAUUUGUUCACCGAAGGAUUGAACAGAACCAAAAGUGCUUCCAAUGUGUUACAGCCAUAACCGAAAAAAAU